UUCCUCAUGCCAAAAGAAAGCAACUUGUGUGCUCAUGUUCAUAAAAACUGUACUGUGAACUUAAAACACAAAACAAACCAUUGUGUGGGUGGCUCGACCGCUACUUUGGAGUUCCCAUGGAGUUCUCGGAGUGUGCGCACACACGGAGCCUGAAGCCCGGAGCCCUGGGGAAUGGGAAAGAGUUCCCGGGAGCGUGUGGAGUGCUGGUGGAAUUCGGCAAUAAAGAGUUGCUGUUUUGAACCUA